rnacentral:rRNA from 1 species
GACGGAGGAUGCAAGUGUUAUCCGGAAUCACUGGGCGUAAAGCGUCUGUGGGUGGUUCAAUAAGUCAACUGUUAAAUCUUGAGGCUCAACUUCAAAAUCGCAGUCGAAACUAUUGGACUCGAGUAUAGUAGGGGUAAAGGGAAUUUCCAGUGGAGCGGUGAAAUGCGUAGAGAUUGGAAAGAACACCAAUGGCGAAAGCACUUUACUGGGCUAUUACUGACACUGAGAGACGAAAGCUAGGGUAGCAAAUGGG